UCCCAGCCCCAUGGGAAUCACUGACCCACGGUUAGCAGGAGAGAGCUGAAGGGGCAGGACUCUGCCACUGGCUCACUGCGGGGCAUAGAAAGCUGCAUGUUUGCUGCCUGCCUGUCUUUAUACACACGCCGCCCGCCCCCCGCAAAUGCAAAGCAAUAGGAUCCCCUUUUUUGCUACAGUCUACCGGCCUGCUGCUGCAAGACAACACCUCAGUUCGCCUUGCUCUCCAGCAAACGGAUGCACGGCAGAUUCCUCUAACAUCGCUGGCAUUGGCAGAAAAGCCAGGAGUCCAGGAGUGGAUCUUCUGAACAGUGGAAAUCAGCUGGGAGAACUCUGCGCAAACAAAGAUGGAUUCACACUGCAAGCUGCAAGCGUGCCGAUGGAGACACACUCCAGCUGACACUGGAGCCAGCCCGCAGUGUCAGGACCCUUCCGUAGCUCCCGCGGAGCAAUAAUUACAGGGUCUCUGGGUGAGUGUGGGCCCCCGAGGUGUGGCUAACUGGCCAAGAACUGAACAGUAACCUGUAGGAAAAGCUGAAAGGGGGAGGUUUUCGCCACACGCUUGGGGGACUACUGCUGAAGAACUUCUGAAAUUAGUGGAGGAAAUCGGCUUGAAUGGGAGCAGGACCAGGUCAAAGCAAAGUAGUUUAGAAAAAGCUACGCAAAUAUGUACCUAUUUAACAUAAAACUUCUCCUAUUUCUAACUUGCUGGGUGUGAAAGAACAUAUUUGUGCUGUGUCUACAAACU